rnacentral:rRNA from 1 species
AUUGAACGCUGGCGGCAGGCCUAACACAUGCAAGUCGAGCGGAUGAAGGGAGCUUGCUCCUGGAUUCAGCGGCGGACGGGUGAGUAAUGCCUAGGAAUCUGCCUGGUAGUGGGGGAUAACGUCUGGAAACGGGCGCUAAUACCGCAUACGUCCUGAGGGAGAAAGUGGGGGAUCUUCGGACCUCACGCUAUCAGAUGAGCCUAGGUCGGAUUAGCUAGUUGGUGGGGUAAAGGCCUACCAAGGCGACGAUCCGUAACUGGUCUGAGAGGAUGAUCAGUCACACUGGAACUGAGACACGGUCCAGACUCCGACGGGAGGCAGCAGUGGGGAAUAUUGGACAAUGGGCGAAAGCCUGAUCCAGCCAUGCCGCGUGUGUGAAGAAGGUCUUCGGAUUGUAAAGCACUUUAAGUUGGGAGGAAGGGCAGUAAGUUAAUACCUUGCUGUUUUGACGUUACCAACAGAAUAAGCACCGGCUAACUUCGUG